UCCCCGCCACACAGCAGAUGCCUCCUCCCUGGUUUUACACACGCUUGGAGUUCGGCUCGCAGCCUGGAUUUAAAGGGAAUCUGUUGCUGCGGGUGACACCUCUUGUGAGCUCCCAGGGAGAAUUGAUGGAGCAUGGAGCUAGGGAAUAGGAUGCCAGAGAAGCACAGAGGAAGAAAUCAUGCAAUCGGCAGGAUGGGAAGGAUCCAUUGGAUAUGGGACGAGACACCUCUGCAACCCUUGUGGAUUCUCCUUCUUCUAGAGGGGAAUUAUAGUUGUGGAUUUAUUGUCCCGGUGCAGCACUUCCAGCAGCAGCAGCAACAGCAGCAGCAGCUUUCUGACUCUCUUCGGUGACGGGUAUUCUUGGGUGGAUAAUACGGAUUACGUUGUUAUUGCUUAAGAAUACGCGUAGUCGAGGAGAGUACCGGCGGCGGGCAGGCAGCGCGACCGCCCCCGGCCCACAGCUGCCUCCUCACCUG